rnacentral:rRNA from 1 species
GACGAACGCUGGCGGCGUGCCUAAUACAUGCAAGUCGAACGCAGUGGGUACGGGUGAGUAACCCGUGGGUAACCUUCCCAUCAGAGGGGAUAACACUUGGCAACAGGUGCUAAACCGAUACUGAUUGAUGGACCCGCGGUGCAUUAGCUAGUUGGUGAGGUAACGGCUUACCAAGGCCAGGAUGCAUAGCGGGCCUGAGGGGGGGAUCGGCCACACUGGGACUGGGACACGGCCCAGACUCCUACGGGAGGCAGCAGUAGGGAAUCUUCGGCAAUGGACGAAAGUCUGACCGAGCAACGCCGCGUGAGUGAAGAAGGUUUUCGGAUGGUAAAACUCUGUUGUUAGAGAAGCGGUAUCUAACCAGAAAGCCACGGCUAACUACGUGCCAGCAGCCGCGGUAAUUC